UACGUAGGGUGCGAGCGUUAAUCGGAAUUACUGGGCGUAAAGCGUGCGCAGGCGGCGCGUUAAGACAGGUGUGAAAAGCCCCCGAGCUUAACUUGGGGAAAAUUUUGCGCUUUGUGACUGGGCGUGCUGGGAGUGUGGGCAGAGGGAGGGUGGGAAAUUUCCCACGUGUAGCAGUGAAAUGCCGUAGAGAUGUGGGAGGGAAACACCCAAAUUUGCGAAAGGGCAGCUCGCUGGGACCGUUUACUGACGCUGAGACGCGAAAGCGUGGGAGCAAACAGGG
rnacentral:rRNA from 1 species